GUCCCUGUAGCCCAAUUGGAAGAGGCAGCGGAUUUAAGCCCCGCUCGGUGUCAGUUCGACCCUGACCAGGGAUA
rnacentral:tRNA from 1 species